GACAUUGCUGGGAAGCAGAUCAAGCUUGAGCGGAGCCGUCCUGCGGGUGCAAGGCGUUUGGUGUCAAAGCCUGAGCAGGAGCAAGAUGAACUCAAUCUUUGUCCGAGCCCUUUUGAUGAUUUAUCAGCAGGACGACUAGCAGCAUUUUCUCCUGGAGUAAUUACAUCUAGCUGCAUGAACAAUGGAUCAGCCCAAGUUUUACCUUCUGCUGUCCAGUCGCCUGUGGCUUCAUUUAUUGAAUCUCAUCGGAGUUCUAGUGUUCCAAAUAACUUGCCCUCUCCACUGACAGUGGCAUCUGUUGGUAAACAAAUUUGCCUUAAUGAAUCUAAUCACUCCAUGGAUGAAUUAAUGUUCGGUAACCAAUGCAUUCCAAGUUUCCACCCUCAUUCCUUGCCAGAAUAUCACGAUAGUUUAGCCAAUGGCAUUCCAUAUAACUCCUCAACGACUAUCGGAGGCAUGGCUCGCAGUGUUGGUUCCAAAGUGACUGAAGGAAUCAACAGCAGGCACAUUCAAGGAGUAGGUUCAAAUGGGCACCUGAUGGAACUUAAUGGAGGGGUUUUUGGCUCUUCUGGAAAUGGAACUGGCUCUCUUCCUGGGCAUCAUUACAUAUGGAACAAUUCAAACUCAGGUCGGCAACAUCAUGCAAACCGUAUGAUUUGGCCAAAUUCACCAUCAUUUACCAAUGGUGUUCAUCACCUUCCUCAUAUGCCUGGACUUCCUCGAGCAGCUCCAGUUAUGCUCAACACAUUACCUGCACAUCAUCACAUUGGAUCUGCACCGGCUGUUAAUCCUUCCUUGUGGGAUAGGCGACAUGCUUAUUCUGG
rnacentral:misc_RNA from 1 species